rnacentral:rRNA from 1 species
UACGAAGGGGGCUAGCGUUGCUCGGAAUCACUGGGCGUAAAGGGUGCGUAGGCGGGUCUUUAAGUCAGGGGUGAAAUCCUGGAGCUCAACUCCAGAACUGCCUUUGAUACUGAGGAUCUGAGUUCGGGAGAGGUGAGUGGAACUGCGAGUGUAGAGGUGAAAUUCGUAGAUAUUCGCAAGAACACCAGUGGCGAAGGCGGCUCACUGGACCGGAACUGACGCUGAGGCGCGAAAGCGUGGGGAGCAAACAGG